rnacentral:rRNA from 1 species
UACGGAGGGUGCAAACGUUGCUCGGAAUCAUUGGGCGUAAAGCGCACGUAGGCGGUUCGCUAUGUCGGAUGUGAAAGCCCCGGGCUUAACCCGGGAAGGGCAUCCGAAACUGGCGGGCUUGAGUACGGAAGAGGGUCUCGGAAUUCCCGGUGUAGAGGUGAAAUUCGUAGAUAUCGGGAGGAACACCAGUGGCGAAGGCGGAGACCUGGGCCGAUACUGACGCUGAGGUGCGAAAGCGUGGGGAGCAAACAGG